UGCAAAAACGCCCUCAACGCACGCGCCGGGACGCGGUAGGCAGGAAACAGUGCUGCACCAUUUGUUGCUUUGGUAAACAACUUGCGGAGGCCGCAGGGCACACAGCGCUUGGAGGAACACGAGAGCUGACGAUUCUUUCUGCGCAAGGGGGAUGGGGAGGCAGUGAAUGGGCAGUAAUGUGAUCAAGCACGCACUAAGGGGGGAGGGGGGU
rnacentral:lncRNA from 1 species